ACUCCUACGGGAGGCAGCAGUGGGGAAUAUUGGACAAUGGGGGCAACCCUGAUCCAGCCAUGCCGCGUGAGUGAAGAAGGCCCUAGGGUCGUAAAGCUCUUUCAACUGUGAAGAUAAUGACGGUAGCAGUAGAAGAAACCCGGCUAAGCUCCGUGCCAGCAGCCGCGGUAAUACGGAGGGGUUAGCGUUGUUCGGAAUUACUGGGCGUAAAGCGCACGUAGGCGGACUAUUAAGUUAGAGGUGAAAUCCCAGGGCUCAACCCUGGAACUGCCUUUAAUACUGGUAGUCUUGAGUUCGAGAGAGGUGAGUGGAAUUCCGAGUGUAGAGGUGAAAUUCGUAGAUAUUCGGAGGAACACCAGUGGCGAAGGCGGCUCACUGGCUCGAUACUGACGCUGAGGUGCGAAAGUGUGGGGAGCAAACAGGAUUAGAUACCCUGGUAGCUACGAG
rnacentral:rRNA from 1 species